GAUGAAGAACGUAGCGAAUUGCGAUAAGUAAUGUGAAUUGCAGAUUUUCAGUGAAUCAUCGAAUCUUUGAACGCACAUUGCGCCCCUUGGUAUCCCGAGGGGCAUGCCUGUUCGAGCGUCAUUUCACCACUCAAGCCUGGCUUGGUGUUGGGCGACGUCCUCUUUGGGGACGCGCCUCGAAACGCUCGGCGGCGUGGCACCGGCUUUAAGCGUAGCAGAAUCUUUCGCUUUGGAAGUCGGGGCCCCGUCUGCCGGAAGACCUGCUCGCAAGGUUGACCUCGGAUCAGGCAGGGAUACCCGCUGAACUUAAGCAUAUCAAUAAGCGGAGA
rnacentral:misc_RNA from 1 species